rnacentral:rRNA from 1 species
AAUGGAGGAAACUCUGACGCAGCCAUGCCGCGUGAGUGAAGAAGGCCCUAGGGUUGUAAAGCCCUUUCAGAUGCGAAGAUAAUGACGGUAACAUCAGAAGAAGCUCCGGCUAAAUUCGUGCCAGCAGCCGCGGUAAUACGAAUGGAGCGAGCGUUGUUCGGAAUCACUGGGCGUAAAGCGUAUGUAGGCGGAUAAGAAAGUCAGAAGUGAAAUCCCAGGGCUUAACCCUGGAACUGCUUUUGAAACUUCUUGUCUAGAGUCCCGGAGGGGUUGGCGGAAUUCCGAGUGUAGAGGUGAAAUUCGCAGAUAUUCGGAGGAACACCAGUGGCGUAGGCGGCCAACUGGACGGGAACUGACGCUGAGAUACGAAAGCGUGGGGAGCAAACAGGAUU